rnacentral:rRNA from 1 species
UGGGGAAUUUUGCGCAAUGGGGGCAACCCUGACGCAGCGACGCCGCGUGGGUGAUGAAGGCCUUCGUGUUGUAAAGCCCUGUCUGGGGGGAAGAUAGUGACGGUACCCCCGGAGGAAGCCCCGGCUAACUACGUGCCAGCAGCCGCGGUAAUACGUAGGGGGCGAGCGUUGUCCGGAAUUAUUGGGCGUAAAGGGCGUGUAGGCGGCCUGGCAAGUCGGCUGUGAAAUCCCCCGGCUCAACCGGGGAGUGGCAGUCGAAACUGUUGGGCUUGAGUGCAGGAGAGGAGGGUGGAAUUCCUGGUGUAGCGGUGAAAUGCGUAGAUAUCGGGAGGAACACCAGUGGCGAAAGCGGCUUCCUGGCCUGGCCCUGACGCUGAGGCGCGAAAGCGUGGGGAGCAAACA